rnacentral:rRNA from 1 species
AUGGCAAAAUAUUUUUGGAGUAGCUCUCUUGAUAAAAAAGCAAUGCAUUGGGUUUCCUGGAAGGAGUUAUCUAAACCCAAGUGCGAGGGUGGGAUGGGGUUUCGAGACCCGCAUCUGUUUAACCUAGCUAUGUUGGGCAAGCAUGGGUGGCGUUUCAUCACCAACCCAAAUUCGCUUUGUGCGAGAGUACUCAAGGGCCGUUACUUUCCGGAUACCGAUUUCAUGCACGCUCCAGUUCCCAAGUCAGCCUCGGCAACUUGGAAGGCGAUUGUGGCGGGAAGGGACGCCUCGAAAACAGGGUUGAUCUCCAGAGUGGGAGAUGGUUCUACUAUAUCGGUUUGGGAGGACAAGUGGAUCCCA